UGGGGAAUAUUGCACAAUGGGCGCAAGCCUGAUGCAGCAACGCCGCGUGAACGAUGAAGGUCUUCGGAUCGUAAAGUUCUGUUGCAGGGGAAGAUAAUGACGGUACCCUGUGAGGAAGCCCCGGCUAACUACGUGCCAGCAGCCGCGGUAAUACGUAGGGGGCUAGCGUUAUCCGGAUUUACUGGGCGUAAAGGGUGCGUAGGUGGUCUUUCAAGUCGGUGGUUAAAGGCUACGGCUCAACCGUAGUUAGCCUCCGAAACUGGAAGACUUGAGUGCAGGAGAGGAAAGUGGAAUUCCCAGUGUAGCGGUGAAAUGCGUGGAUAUUGGGAGGAACACCAGGAGCGAAGGCGGCUUUCUGGACUGCAACUGACACUGAGGCACGAAAGCGUGGGUAGCAAACAGG
rnacentral:rRNA from 1 species